rnacentral:rRNA from 1 species
GAGGAAUAUUGGUCAAUGGGCGCAAGCCUGAACCAGCCAAGUAGCGUGCAGGAAGACGGCCCUAUGGGUUGUAAACUGCUUUUAUACGAGAAUAAUUUGAUGCACGUGUGCGUUAUUGCAUGUAUCGUAUGAAUAAGGACCGGCUAAUUCCGUGCCAGCAGCCGCGGUAAUACGGAAGGUCCAGGCGUUAUCCGGAUUUAUUGGGUUUAAAGGGAGCGUAGGCCGUGGAUUAAGCGUGUUGUGAAAUGUAGACGCUCAACGUCUGAAUUGCAGCGCGAACUGGUUCACUUGAGUAUGCACAACGUAGGCGGAAUUCGUCGUGUAGCGGUGAAAUGCUUAGAUAUGACGAAGAACUCCGAUUGCGAAGGCAGCUUACGGGAGCACAACUGACGCUGAAGCUCGAAGGUGCGGGUAUCAAACAGGAUUAGAUACCCUGGUAGUCCGCACAGUAAACGAUGGAUGCCCGUUGUUAGUUCACUUAUGAAUUAGCGACCAAGCGAAAGCAUUAAGCAUCCCACCUGGGGAGUACGCCGGCAACGGUG